AACGCUAGCUACAGGCUUAACACAUGCAAGUCGAGGGGCAGCAUGGUCUUAGCUUGCUAAGGCCGAUGGCGACCGGCGCACGGGUGAGUAACACGUAUCCAACCUGCCGUCUACUCUUGGACAGCCUUCUGAAAGGAAGAUUAAUACAAGAUGGCAUCAUGAGUCCGCAUGUUCACAUGAUUAAAGGUAUUCCGGUAGACGAUGGGGAUGCGUUCCAUUAGAUAGUAGGCGGGGUAACGGCCCACCUAGUCUUCGAUGGAUAGGGGUUCUGAGAGGAAGGUCCCCCACAUUGGAACUGAGACACGGUCCAAACUCCUACGGGAGGCAGCAGUGAGGAAUAUUGGUCAAUGGGCGAGAGCCUGAACCAGCCAAGUAGCGUGAAGGAUGACUGCCCUAUGGGUUGUAAACUUCUUUUAUAAAGGAAUAAAGUCGGGUAUGGAUACCCGUUUGCAUGUACUUUAUGAAUAAGGAUCGGCUAACUCCGUGCCAGCAGCCGCGGUAAUACGGAGGAUCCGAGCGUUAUCCGGAUUUAUUGGGUUUAAAGGGAGCGUAGAUGGAUGUUUAAGUCAGUUGUGAAAGUUUGCGGCUCAACCGUAAAAUCGCAGUUGAUACUGGAUAUCCUGAGUGCAGUUGAGGCAGGCGGAAUUCGUGGUGUAGCGGUGAAAUGCUUAGAUAUCACGAAGAACUCCGAUUG
rnacentral:rRNA from 1 species